ACAGGGGGAUAACCGGGAGAAAUUCCGACUAAUACCGCAUACGUCCUUUGGGGGCAUCCCCGGGGGAUGAAAGAGUUAUCGGUGGAGGAUGGGCAUGCGUGAUAUUAGGUAGUUGGCGGGGCAACGGCCCACCAAGCCCACGAUAUCUAGGGGUUCUGAGAGGAAGGUCCCCCACAUUGGGACUGAGACACGGACCAAACUCCUACGGGAGGCAGCAGUGAGGAAUAUUGGUCAAUGGACGAGAGUCUGAACCAGCCAAGUCGCGUGAAGGAAGACGGAUCUAUGGUUUGUAAACUUCUUUAGUGCGGGAACAAAGCGGCGUCGAGACGCCGGAUGAGUGUACCGCAAGAAUAAGCAUCGGCUAACUCCGUGCCAGCAGCCGCGGUAAUACGGAGGAUGCGAGCGUUAUCCGGAUUUAUUGGGUUUAAAGGGAGCGCAGGCUGCGAGGCAAGUCAGCGGUCAAAUGUCGGGGCUCAACCCCGGCCUGCCGUUGAAACUGUUUUGCUAGAGUUCGAGUGAGGUAUGCGGAAUGCGUUGUGUAGCGGUGAAAUGCAUAGAUAUGACGCAGAACUCCGAUUGCGAAGGCAGCAUACCAACUCGCGACUGACGCUGAGGCUCGAAAGCGUGGGUAUCGAACAGGAUUAGAUACCCUGGUAGUCCACGCAGUAAACGAUGAAUACUAACUGUUUGGAGGGCGACCUCUGAGUGGUAAAGCGAAAGCGUUAAGUAUUCCACCUGGGGAGUACGCCGGCAACGGUGAAACUCAAAGGAAUUGACGGGGGCCCGCACAAGCGGAGGAACAUGUGGUUUAAUUCGAUGAUACGCGAGGAACCUUACCCGGGCUCAAACGUCGGGCGAAUCAUCCUGAAAGGGGUGAGCCAGCAAUGGCGGCCGACGAGGUGCUGCAUGGUUGUCGUCAGCUCGUGC
rnacentral:rRNA from 1 species